rnacentral:rRNA from 1 species
CGGUGUGCCUAAUACAUGCAAGUCGUACGCACUGGCCCAACUGAUUGAUGGUGCUUGCACCUGAUUGACGAUGGAUCACCAGUGAGUGGCGGACGGGUGAGUAACACGUAGGUAACCUGCCUCGGAGCGGGGGAUAACAUUUGGAAACAGAUGCUAAUACCGCAUAACAACAAAAGCCACAUGGCUUUUGUUUGAAAGAUGGCUUUGGCUAUCACUCUGGGAUGGACCUGCGGUGCAUUAGCUAGUUGGUAAGGUAACGGCUUACCAAGGCAAUGAUGCAUAGCCGAGUUGAGAGACUGAUCGGCCACAAUGGAACUGAGACACGGUCCAUACUCCUACGGGAGGCAGCAGUAGGGAAUCUUCCACAAUGGGCGCAAGCCUGAUGGAGCAACACCGCGUGAGUGAAGAAGGGUUUCGGCUCGUAAAGCUCUGUUGUUGGAGAAGAACGUGCGUGAGAGUAACUGUUCACGCAGUGACGGUAUCCAACCAGAAAGUCACGGCUAACUACGUGCCAGCAGCCGCGGUAAUACGUAGGUGGCAAGCGCUAUCCGGAUUUAUUGGGCGUAAAGCGAGCGCAGGCGGUUGCUUAGGUCUGAUGUGAAAGCCUUCGGCUUAACCGAAGAAGUGCAUCGGAAACCGGGCGACUUGAGUGCAGAAGAGGACAGUGGAACUCCAUGUGUAGCGGUGGAAUGCGUAGAUAUAUGGAAGAACACCAGUGGCGAAGGCGGCUGUCUGGUCUGCAACUGACGCUGAGGCUCGAAAGCAUGGGUAGCGAACAGGAUUAGAUACCCUGGUAGUCCAUGCCGUAAACGAUGAGUGCUAGGUGAUGGAGGGUUUCCGCCCUUCAGUGCCGGAGCUAACGCAUUAAGCACUCCGCCUGGGGAGUACGACCGCAAGGUUGAAACUCAAAGGAAUUGACGGGGGCCCGCACAAGCGGUGGAGCAUGUGGUUUAAUUCGAAGCUACGCGAAGAACCUUACCAGGUCUUGACAUCUUGCGCUAACCUUAGAGAUAAGGCGUUCCCUUCGGGGACGCAAUGACAGGUGGUGCAUGGUCGUCGUCAGCUCGUGUCGUGAGAUGUUGGGUUAAGUCCCGCAACGAGCGCAACCCUUGUUACUAGUUGCCAGCAUUAAGUUGGGCACUCUAGUGAGACUGCCGGUGACAAACCGGAGGAAGGUGGGGACGACGUCAGAUCAUCAUGCCCCUUAUGACCUGGGCUACACACGUGCUACAAUGGACGGUACAACGAGUCGCAAGCUCGCGAGAGUAAGCUAAUCUCUUAAAGCCGUUCUCAGUUCGGACUGUAGGCCGCAACUCGCCUACACGAAGUCGGAAUCGCUAGUAAUCGCGGAUCAGCAUGCCGCGGUGAAUACGUUCCCGGGCCUUGCACUCACCGCCCGUCA